CAGCCGCCACGGGAAUACGAAGGGUGCAAGCGUUACUCGGAAUUACUGGGCGUAAAGCGUGCGUAGGUGGUGGUUUAAGUCCGUUGUGAAAGCCCUGGGCUCAACCUGGGAAUUGCAGUGGAUACUGGGUCACUAGAGUGUGGUAGAGGAUAGUGGAAUUUCCGGUGUAGCAGUGAAAUGCGUAGAGAUCGGAAGGAACAUCUGUGGCGAAGGCGACUAUCUGGGCCAACACUGACACUGAGGCACGAAAGCGUGGGGAGCAAACAGGAUUAGAUACCCCCGUAGUCCCUGUCUCUUAUAU
rnacentral:rRNA from 1 species